rnacentral:rRNA from 1 species
UACAGAGGGUGCAAGCGUUGUUCGGAAUUAUUGGGCGUAAAGGGCGCGUAGGCGGCUCAUGAAGGCUGUGGUGAAAGUCCGGGGCUCAACCUCGGAUCGGCCGUGGCGACUCGUGGGCUGGAGCACUGUAGAGGCGGGUGGAAUUCCGGGUGUAGCGGUGGAAUGCGUAGAGAUCCGGAAGAACACCAGUGGCGAAGGCGGCCCGCUGGGCAGUGGCUGACGCUGAGGCGCGACAGCGUGGGGAGCAAACAGG